UACGUAGGGGGCUAGCGUUGUCCGGAAUCAUUGGGCGUAAAGCGCGCGUAGGCGGCCAGAUAAGUCCGGUGUGAAAGUCACAGGCUCAACCUGUGAAUGCCGCUGGAAACUGUCUGGCUAGAGUUCGGAAGGGGCGGUCGGAACUGUCGGUGGAGCGGUGAAAUGCGUUGAUAUCGACAGGAACGCCGGUGGCGAAAGCGGACCGCUGGCCCUCUUCUGACGCUGAGGCGCGAAAGCCAGGGGAGCGAACGGG
rnacentral:rRNA from 1 species